AAUUGUCAAACAAAUCAAUGACAAUACAUAUGUUGUUGAUUUCCCGGAUAGCAUGGAAAUUUAGUGUACUUUUAAUGCAGCUGAUUUGUAUCCAUACUAUUCCAUGGAUGAGCCUUUGUAUCCUCCUGAUGACUCAAACUCAAGGUCGAGUUUUUCCCAAGUGGAGGAAACUGAUGUGGAAUAUAUUAGUGAUAAUUUUAUUGAAAA
rnacentral:misc_RNA from 1 species